CAGCCCGGGCAGGGAUCCGCUCCCCGCAAAACGGGGGGAGGAAAGUCCGGACUCCAACCGGAAACGGCGCCGGGUAAUUCCCGGGCAUGGGGAGGGCGACUUCCCCGUGACGGACAGGGCCACAGAAAAUAGACCGCCCCCGAAACCGGCGCAAGCCGGCGGAGGGGGUAAGGGUGAAAAGGUGGUGUAAGAGACCCCCGCGUCGGCCGCAAUGCCGACGGCACGGUAAACCCCGCCGGGAGCAAGACCAAGAAGUCCCCGCGGACCCGCCCUUCGGGACGGGCCCAGACUCCGGAGAAAGGGGACAGGUAGGUUGCCAGAGGCCCGCCGAAAGGCGUGCCCCAGAGAAAUGGGUCCCACCACAGAAUCCGGCUUAUCGUCCGGGCUGGUAU
rnacentral:RNase_P_RNA from 1 species